UCCUAGCGUUAAGGAUAGAAACGGCAUCCUUUUAUGUAGUAAAACGGAAUAAAAGAUAGAGUGGAUAGCCUGACCUUGU
rnacentral:sRNA from 2 species